rnacentral:lncRNA from 1 species
GUGUACCCCAGCGGACUACCAGCCUGGGCCGCAUGACAUUCCUACUGCAUCUGUGACAAACCACUAUAAACUCAGUGUCUUCAAAGACUUUAACCACACAGUCUUCCAAGUCAACCACAGGCCUUACUGGGGUGAAGUCAGGGGUCAGCAGUUCUGUUCCACUUGGGAGGCUGGAGGGGAGCUGGUCUGUUGUCUUACUCUCCCAUCUCAGAACGUGGCAUAUUCCUUGCCAGGGCCCUCUUACUCCAUCCUUGAGCCAGCAGUGCUGGGUGUCCUCCAAACCCACAUCUCCCUGACCACAGACAGCAAGGGACUCUGCUUUGAAGGCUUCUGGUCCAGCCCGGGUGCAUCUCAAGGCGCCUGACCUACUUCUUCUGCCAAGCCCAUUUCAACCCAAGCUGUUCAGUCUCAGCAGCAAACGCAUUCUUCUGCUUUACGAGGCCGUGAUGCUGACUUGGACAAUGCGUAAUUCGGGAGUAACUGAGGCUACGCAAUCCCAUUCGGACUCAACAGGAACGAGCUAUGAACGAAGGAUGAACUGUACAGCACGAGGCAGCACCCCUGCUGGAGCUCGAGUUGCACUGUCAGAGCACAGACGUCACUCUGGAUGGGAUGGGCCCGAGUGGCCGACUGACUGGGCAGAAGAUGCUUCCAGGGGGACAAGGCUCUGAGCUAGACUCCCAGAGGGCAGCGGGGCAGGUGGGGAAGGAACCGAAGGGAGGGAAUGGGAGAGUUGUCCAAGCUGACAAAUGGG